AAGAACUUGGCGGUUCCACAAAACCAUCCAGAGGCUCUUGGGGCUUAAACCGAUGAUCCGCGUGAUAUCUUACCCACUCUAUAUGGUAAUGUACUGCCGUCGAAAGCUUAUGAUGUAAGUGUAUAAAAAUAGGCUUCAUCUUAGGCAUAGAUUAGAUCUAUGUGCUAAGACUAGGUCAGGUCGAAGUGUUCUUUAUGAGUGAGGGGUUAGCUGAGAGACAAUUUUUAAGAUAUAACAAGCUUUAAAAUGAAAUUUUUAUAGUGAGGCGGAUUUGGGAGUAAA
rnacentral:rRNA from 1 species